rnacentral:piRNA from 1 species
UAUUCCUACAUUAGAGACCAUUCUGCCAUCU